GUUAAUUGUCCUGUUUUUCUAAAAUAAAUUUAUGAUGCCACUGCAUGGAAGAACAAAUGUAGUUUCAUGCAUUUGGUCAGUCUAAUUUAUAAUGAUUGCCAAGUGCUAUUUGUAAUAACUUUAACAACUUGAUGCAACAAUAUGUGCCAAAGUCUGAUAUUUGAUCAUUUUAGGAUUUGUUUAGUAUUGCUGUUGAAUAUGCUAUUGAGAAU
rnacentral:misc_RNA from 1 species